GAUGAACGCUAGCGGCAGGCUUAACACAUGCAAGUCGAGGGGUAGAGAGUGCUUGCAUUCUCGAGACCGGCGCACGGGUGCGUAACGCGUAUGCAACCUACCUUGAACAGGGGGGAUAGCCCAGAGAAAUUUGGAUUAAUACCCCAUGGUAUAUUGAGAUGGCAUCAUCUUAUUAUUAAAGUCACAACGGUUCAAGAUGGGCAUGCGUCCCAUUAGCUAGAUGGUAAGGUAACGGCUUACCAAGGCUACGAUGGGUAGGGGUCCUGAGAGGGAGAUCCCCCACACCUGGUACUGAGACACGGACCAGACUCCUACGGGAGGCAGCAGUGAGGAAUAUUGGGACAAUGGGCGCAAGCCUGAUCCAGCCAUGCCGCGUGAGUGAAGAAGGCC
rnacentral:rRNA from 1 species